rnacentral:rRNA from 1 species
GGAAUAUUGGACAAUGGGCGCAAGCCUGGUCCAGCCAUGCCGCGUGAGUGAAGAAGGCCUUAGGGUUGUAAAGCUCUUUUACCAGGGAUGAUAAUGACAGUACCUGGAGAAUAAGCUCCGGCUAACUCCGUGCCAGCAGCCGCGGUAAUACGGAGGGAGCUAGCGUUGUUCGGAAUUCCUGGGCGUAAAGCGCACGUAGGCGGCUACUCAAGUCGGGGGUGAAAGCCCGGGGCUCAACCCCGGAACUGCCCUCGAAACUAGGUAGCUAGAAUCUUGGAGAGGUCAGUGGAAUUCCGAGUGUAGAGGUGAAAUUCGUAGAUAUUCGGAAGAACACCAGUGGCGAAGGCGACUGACUGGACAAGUAUUGACGCUGAGGUGCGAAAGCGUGGGGAGCAAA